CCUGUUCCUGUCAGUUCUUUUCCUCUCAUGUGCGUUUCUAAUCUCACCACAGGCUCCCUCACCGUCCCCUUCUGAGCUUUCGUCACAGCCACCUUCCUUGCCUCCAUCACAGUCACCUUCUUUGCCUCCGUCUCAGCCACCUUCCUUGCCUCCCUCUAAGCCACCUUCUCUGCCUCCCUCACAGUCAACUUCUGACGCUUGUAAGUCAACUCCAUACCCAAAGCUCUGCCGUACGAUCCUCUCCGCCGUCAAAUCCUCACCGUCCGACCCCUACAGCUACGGCAA
rnacentral:lncRNA from 1 species